rnacentral:rRNA from 1 species
GUUAGCAACCUGUCUAUAGAGAUAUAUGGUAUGGCAAGAAGAGGAAUAAAACCUGAAAUUAAUGCACUAUCUACAAUAAUGUUUACAGUUGUAUUAAUUUUACUUUUAAUAUCAAAUAAGAAACAAUCUAUAGUAAGGAGUGAUAAAUAAUUAUGAAAUUAAGAAAAAUAUCAAUUUUAAUUACUAUAGGUUUAAUGGUUUCAACUAUGCUUACUGGAUGUGGGGCUACAGAUUCCAAAAAAGUUUUGAAUGUAUAUAAUGUCGGAGAUUAUAUAGAUGAAAAUAUAAUAACUUUGUUUGAAGAAAAAACAGGAAUUGAUGUACAGUAUGAAACUUAUGAUACUAAUGAAAUGAUGUAUCAAAAAGUUAAAAGUGGAAGUACUAAUUAUGAUUUAAUAUUCCCAUCUGACUAUAUGGUUGAAAAAAUGAAAAGUGAAGGACUUCUUCAAAAAAUAGAUUUUAAAAAUAUACCAAAUAUGAAGUAUAUAGACAAAAGCUUUUUAAAUCCUAUAUAUGAUGAAACUAAUGAAUAUAGUGUUCCAUAUAUGUGGGGAACUUUUGGUAUAUUAUAUAAUAAAAAAAUGGUUAAAGAACCAGUUGAUAGUUGGGAUAUACUUUGGAAUCCUAAAUAUAAAGGGAAUAUAAUGAUGUUCGACUCAGUUAGAGAUACUAUGGGAAUAUCAUUAAAAAGAUUAGGGUACAGUAUGAAUACAACUAAUCCUAAAGAAAUAAAUGAAGCAAUGAAAGAGUUAAUGAAACAAAAAGAUUUAGUAUUAGCAUAUGUAAAUGAUGAAGGUAAAGAUAGACUUUUAGGAGAAGAAGUGGCUAUGGGUAUUGCUUACUCAGGAGAUGCAGUGACUUUAAUGGAAGAAAAUCCUAAUUUAGCUUAUGCAAUACCUAAAGAAGGUACAAAUAAAUGGGUAGAUGCAAUGGCAAUACCUAAAAGCGCACAAAAUAAAAAGGAAGCUGAAAUGUUUAUAAACUUUUUAUUAGAUCCUGAAAUUGCAAAGAUGAAUGCUGAAUAUAUAGGAUAUUCAACUCCUAAUGUAGGGGCUUUAAAGUUAUUAGAUAAAGAGGUAACUUCGAAUCCUGUUGCAUAUCCACCUAAAUCUGUUAUGGAUAAGACUGAAACAUUUAUUGAUUUAGGAGACAAAUUAAGAUUAUAUGACGAAGCUUGGAUAAAGCUUAAGUCUAAAUAAAAAAAGCUCAUUUAAAUGAGCUUUUUUAUUUUUUUGCAUAAAUUAGCAUAUAAAAGUUUACAAGAUGAUAUUAUAAUAUAAAUUAGAAAGUGGAGGGUAGCAUGGGGAUAAGAAAAAAGAGAAACUUUAGAAGAAAAUUUAAGAUUAAUAAUAAAAAAAAUAAAGAGUUGCUUCAAAGUCUUAGUUUGAUUUUAGUUUUAUCAUUUGUUGUGGGAGGAAUAUACACUGUAUAUGAAAAUAAAAAUUACGAAAAAAAAAUAGCUAAAAUAGAGUCAUUGAAGAUCGAAGAGGAAAAAAUUAAAUUUAUUAAAGAUAUUGAAAAAGAAGCUGAAAGUAGUUAUAAGGAAUAUGGGGUAUUGCCAUCUAUAACUAUAUCUCAGGCUAUACUUGAGUCUGGUUGGGGGCAAUCAGAAUUAACAAAAAUCAGUAAUAAUUUAUUUGGAAUAAAAGCGGAUAAAAGAUGGAAAGGUGAAAAUGUAGAAGUAGCAACAUCAGAAAAUUAUAGUGAUGAAGUAAUGGCUAAAUUCAGAAAAUACAACUCAUUAAAUGAUUCAAUAAGAGAUCAUGCAAAGUUUUUAAAAGAAAAUCCGAGAUAUGCAGAACAUGGUUUGUUUGAAGGAAAAGACUAUAAAUCACAAGCUCAAGCAUUAGAAGAUGCAGGUUAUAGCACUAAAAAAAAUGAACAAGGGGAAGCUAUAUAUGCAGAUAUGCUAAUAGAUUUAAUAGAAAGAUAUAACUUAAAUUUAAUAGAUUAAUAAAAAAAUAUAAAAAAGUGUUGACUUCAAAAAAAAAGGAUGAUAUUAUUAUACAUGUGCUCAAGAGAGCAUGAGUUAAGAACUUUGAAAAUUAAACAGUAGGUUAAUUAUAAAAAUUCUUUUUUAAAGAAUUAAACACAAACAACCAAGCCAGAUAUUCAGAUAAUGAUUAGCUGAGCGAUGGACAACUUUUUAAAUUAUAUUUGAGAGUUUGAUCCUGGCUCAGGAUGAACGCUGGCGGCGUGCCUAACACAUGCAAGUCGAGCGAUCUCUUCGGAGAGAGCGGCGGACGGGUGAGUAACGCGUGGGUAACCUGCCCUGUACACACGGAUAACAUACCGAAAGGUAUACUAAUACGGGAUAACAUAUGAAAGUCGCAUGGCUUUUGUAUCAAAGCUCCGGCGGUACAGGAUGGACCCGCGUCUGAUUAGCUAGUUGGUAAGGUAAUGGCUUACCAAGGCAACGAUCAGUAGCCGACCUGAGAGGGUGAUCGGCCACACUGGAACUGAGACACGGUCCAGACUCCUACGGGAGGCAGCAGUGGGGAAUAUUGCACAAUGGGCGAAAGCCUGAUGCAGCAACGCCGCGUGAGCGAUGAAGGCCUUCGGGUCGUAAAGCUCUGUCCUCAAGGAAGAUAAUGACGGUACUUUGAGGAGGAAGCCCCGGCUAACUACGUGCCAGCAGCCGCGGUAAUACGUAGGGGGCUAGCGUUAUCCGGAAUUACUGGGCGUAAAGGGUGCGUAGGUGGUUUUUUAAGUCAGAAGUGAAAGGCUACGGCUCAACCGUAGUAAGCUUUUGAAACUAGAGAACUUGAGUGCAGGAGAGGAGAGUAGAAUUCCUAGUGUAGCGGUGAAAUGCGUAGAUAUUAGGAGGAAUACCAGUAGCGAAGGCGGCUCUCUGGACUGUAACUGACACUGAGGCACGAAAGCGUGGGGAGCAAACAGGAUUAGAUACCCUGGUAGUCCACGCCGUAAACGAUGAGUACUAGGUGUCGGGGGUUACCCCCCUCGGUGCCGCAGCUAACGCAUUAAGUACUCCGCCUGGGAAGUACGCUCGCAAGAGUGAAACUCAAAGGAAUUGACGGGGACCCGCACAAGUAGCGGAGCAUGUGGUUUAAUUCGAAGCAACGCGAAGAACCUUACCUAAGCUUGACAUCCCACUGACCUCUCCCUAAUCGGAGAUUUCCCUUCGGGGACAGUGGUGACAGGUGGUGCAUGGUUGUCGUCAGCUCGUGUCGUGAGAUGUUGGGUUAAGUCCCGCAACGAGCGCAACCCUUGCCUUUAGUUGCCAGCAUUAAGUUGGGCACUCUAGAGGGACUGCCGAGGAUAACUCGGAGGAAGGUGGGGAUGACGUCAAAUCAUCAUGCCCCUUAUGCUUAGGGCUACACACGUGCUACAAUGGGUGGUACAGAGGGUUGCCAAGCCGCGAGGUGGAGCUAAUCCCUUAAAGCCAUUCUCAGUUCGGAUUGUAGGCUGAAACUCGCCUACAUGAAGCUGGAGUUACUAGUAAUCGCAGAUCA